UGGGGAAUUUUGGACAAUGGGCGCAAGCCUGAUCCAGCAAUGCCGCGUGCAGGACGAAGGCCUUCGGGUUGUAAACUGCUUUUGUACGGAACGAAAAGGCUCUGGUUAAUACCUGGGGCCCAUGACGGUACCGUAAGAAUAAGCACCGGCUAACUACGUGCCAGCAGCCGCGGUAAUACGUAGGGUGCAAGCGUUAAUCGGAAUUACUGGGCGUAAAGCGUGCGCAGGCGGUUAUGCAAGACAGAUGUGAAAUCCCCGGGCUUAACCUGGGAACUGCAUUUGUGACUGCAUAGCUAGAGUACGGUAGAGGGGGAUGGAAUUCCGCGUGUAGCAGUGAAAUGCGUAGAUAUGUGGAGGAACACCGAUGGCGAAGGCAGCCCCCUGGGUCAAGAUUGACGCUCAUGCACGAAAGCGUGGGGAGCAAACA
rnacentral:rRNA from 1 species